UACGUAGGGGGCAAGCGUUGUCCGGAUUUAUUGGGCGUAAAGAGCGUGUAGGCGGUUUGGUAGGUCCGCUGUGAAAACUCGAGGCUCAACCUCGAGACGCCGGUGGAAACCAUCAGGCUAGAGUCCGGAAGAGGAGAGUGGAAUUCCUGGUGUAGCGGUGAAAUGCGCAGAUAUCAGGAAGAACACCCUGGCUAAGGCGGCUCUCUAGUACGGUACUGACGCUGAGACGCGAAAAGCGUGGGGGAGCGAAACAGG
rnacentral:rRNA from 1 species